rnacentral:misc_RNA from 1 species
GAUGAAGAACGCAGCGAAAUGCGAUAAGUAAUGUGAAUUGCAGAAUUCAGUGAAUCAUCGAAUCUUUGAACGCACAUUGCGCCCGCCAGCAUUCUGGCGGGCAUGCCUGUUCGAGCGUCAUUUCAACCCUCGAGCCCCCCCGGGGGCCUCGGUGUUGGGGGACGGCACACCAGCCGCCCCCGAAAUGCAGUGGCGACCCCGCCGCAGCCUCCCCUUCGUAGUAGCACACACCUCGCACCGGAGCGCGGAGGCGGUCACGCCGUAAAACGCCCAACUUUCUUAGAGUUGACCUCGGAUCAGGUAGGAAUACCCGCUGAACUUAAGCAUAUCAAUAAGCGGAGGA